GUAUGCCGGGUUGUUGCUGCCCCAACCACUGCCGAUUCUCCAAGCGGGGAUCUGGGAGCAGGAAUGGCAGUUUAACCAUUUUAUGGAUAUGGCUGGAAAUUCAGAAAGGGGAUUGAUUAAAGGAACAUGGUUGGAAAGUCACCACAACCGAAUAUUGGAUCCUAAACUGAAUUUUUGAACUUUAUCUCUUACUUAUUCAAAAGUUACAAAUCAAUGAUCGAAACAGUGAAAUGGAGGCGGUUUUGGCUUUAAUAUCCCUCAGCACUGAGGAAGAGGUGUUGGCAGCGAACCCAGAACCAGUUGGCAGCGUUAUACUUAGGCUUUAAGCAGGAGCAUGCGACAAAACUGUGCUUUGGGCCGGCUGCUCGGUGGCUGGGUCUG